CCGAUUGGUCAAUUUAACCUCCAAAAAUUAAUUAUUAUAGAAAUAAAUGUCGAUUUCCAUUAACUCUAAUAAUUCCGACACAAUUGAAAUAUCAAUUUCAUCUUUAAUCAACACGGAAUUAUUCAUCAUUAAUAUUAUAACUCGCAAUAUUUAACAACCAGAUCAUUCCCAGGAAAGAGGGGGCUUUCCGAUAAGGAUUUCUCUCUAUUGGCGCGCAAUUAAGUG
rnacentral:lncRNA from 1 species